UACGUAGGUGGCAAGCGUUGUCCGGAAUUAUUGGGCGUAAAGCGCGCGCAGGCGGAUUGGUCAGUCUGUCUUAAAAGUUCGGGGCUUAACCCCGUGAUGGGAUGGAAACUGCCAAUCUAGAGUAUCGGAGAGGAAAGUGGAAUUCCUAGUGUAGCGGUGAAAUGCGUAGAUAUUAGGAAGAACACCAGUGGCGAAGGCGACUUUCUGGACGAAAACUGACGCUGAGGCGCGAAAGCCAGGGGAGCGAACGGGAUUAGAACUCCGGUAGU
rnacentral:rRNA from 1 species